GAUGAACGCUGACAGAAUGCUUAACACAUGCAAGUCGUGGGCGAAGCUGUGCUUGCACAGCCUAGCCAAGGCGGACGGGUGAGUAACGCGUAAGGAACUUGCCCUGCAGUCAGGGAUAACAUACGUAAACGACUGAGAAGCCCAGGCAAAGUCAGGCGGACUCAUGUCCAGCCUGAUGAAAAGAGAUGCUGCAGGGGAGCCUUGCGGCCGAUUAGCUUGUUGGUGGGGUAACGGCCCACCAAGGGGAUGAUCCGUAGCCGGCCGGAGAGGGGGGACGGCCACACGGGGACUGAGAUACGCACCUUACACCUACGGGAGGCAGCAGUGGGGAAUAUUGGACAAUGGGGGCUAACCUGAUCAAGCAUUUCUGUGUGAAAGAUGAAGGUUUUCGGAUUGUAAAGUGCUUUCAGCAGGGAAGACAAAAUGACGGUACCUGCAGAAGAAGCGACGGCUAACUACGUG
rnacentral:rRNA from 1 species